GGCGAGAAGGUCACACCCGUUCCCAUGCCGAACACGGAAGUUAAGCUUCUCAGCGCCGAUGGUAGUUGGGGGUUUCCCCCUGUGAGAGUAGGACGUUGCCAGGC
rnacentral:rRNA from 1 species